UCAAACUUGGUCAUUUAGAGGAAGUAAAAGUCGUAACAAGGUUUCCGUAGGUGAACCUGCGGAAGGAUCAUUACCAUGAGGUGGAGCCCCGAAAGGGCCCCUACUCCCACCCUAUGUUGACUUUAAAUGUUGCUUUGGCGGAACGGUGGUUUCACCGCUGGUCGUUAACCGAGGCUCGAAACUUCGGGGACUAGAGAGCGUCCGCCAGAGGCCCAGGAACGGUGGUUUCACCGCCGGUCGUACCGAGGCUCGAAACCUCGGGGACUGGAGAGCGUCCUAACUUUAAUAAACUCUGUUAACGGUGAAAUCUGAAGUUAUGAGAAUUGAAUCAAAACUUUCAACAACGGAUCUCUUGGUUCUGGCAUCGAUGAAGAACGCAGC
rnacentral:misc_RNA from 1 species